CCUUGAGCUCACUUUGUAGCCCAGGCUGGUCUCAAACUCACAGUGAUCCUCCUGCCUCAGCCUCCUGAGUGCUGGGAU
rnacentral:miRNA from 1 species